CCUGGUUCUAUAUAAUAAAGAAAAGAAAUAGAGCAAGAAAAAAGAAUGAGAGCACUCACCUCCAUAAAGUGAGAACUUUUUUGCUAAUUUCAAAAAAUCUAUGAUAAACAACGGAACAUGUAUUAGCUAGGGACUAUUACAAUCAUGGUCCAAAUAUUAUUUUAUGCAGUGUAUGUACUACAAGAAGCAAAAUUCUUAUCCCUAUUGCCAAUUCAUAUAUGGA
rnacentral:lncRNA from 1 species